CCAGACUCCUACGGGAGGCAGCAGUGGGGAAUAUUGCACAAUGGGGGGAACCCUGAUGCAGCGACGCCGCGUGGGCGAGGAAGUAUUUCGGUAUGUAAAGCCCUAUCGGCAGGGAAGAAGAAAUGACGGUACCUGAAUAAGAAGCACCGGCUAAAUACGUGCCAGCAGCCGCGGGAAUACGUAUGGUGCAAGCGUUAUCCGGAUUUACUGGGUGUAAAGGGAGCGUAGACGGUACGGCAAGUCUGAAGUGAAAGCCCAGGGCUUAACCCUGGGACUGCUUUGGAAACUGUUAGACUAGAGUGCUGGAGAGGGAAGUGGAAUUCCUAGUGUAGCGGUGAAAUGCGUAGAUAUUAGGAGGAACACCAGUGGCGAAGGCGGCUUACUGGACAGUAACUGACGUUGAGGCUCGAAAGCGUGGGGAGCAAACAGGAUUAGAUACCCUAGUAGUA
rnacentral:rRNA from 1 species